ensembl:lncRNA
GUUUUUUAAUUAAUAAAACUUAAAAAUUGUUUUUUAAUAAGCACUAUUUUUACUCUUAAGUGCUGUGCAUUCUUUAACAUUUUGUUCCUCCAAAGGAGAAAAUUCACCUCAAGCUCUGGAUGACAAUUUAAAAUUCAGUUAGUUUGAAAGAAUUGAAUUGAUUUUUUUUUUUCCCCCUCUCUAUCAGUUUUUCUUCUCAGGGAUGGAUAUGUUUUAGUAAGAAAAAUGUAGACUCCCAAAGUAAUGGUAUACAGUAAAACAGUGUUCAUUAAACCUAAUUUCACUUUUUGUUUAAUUUAAAUAUAACCUAAAACUGGCACAGUGGAUGUUAACUUUAGAUUAAGAUCUUAAGGACGAAUAUGACAAUUUUUUGUGUGUACUGUCCUUUUGAACAGAUUGAUUGCAGAGGGGAUAAAUGUGUAUUUAUUGUUUUAAAGGGUUCCUUGGACUCCAGCCAUUUCUUUUAAACAUUGCUGUGGUUUGUAAGGUUACAGGGCAGUGUGAAUAACUGAAUGUGUGGCUUUUCCUACACUCUCUGAUAUUGUUAACAGUAUCUGGGAACUGUGUGUGUGUCUCCAUUGGGCUUUUAUUAUGGUUAAAGAAUCUGUUUUUACCUUUGAAAUUGAUUGAUUGCCCUACUUGAAAUGAAGAAUGAAGCUGGCUGGAGGUAGCCCAGUGGCACAGUGCAUGUUACGCAUGCAUGAACCCCCUGGAUUCAAUCCCCAGCACCAAAAACAAAGAAAAAGAAGAAUGAAGACUUUCGUUUACCCCAAUACAUUAUACAUUAAGUGACAUUGAUUUUGUGGGAAAGAAACUAUUGUGUGGUAGAUUUAGAGUUAAGAACGUUAAAUGUUAUGAAAAUAAGAAUAUUUCUUUGAGGCUUUACCCUUUUAUUUUGGUAAAGAUCAUUACUGAUGGACUUUUUUUUUUUAAAGAUAGUCUGCUAAUCCUAUGUGAAAAUAUCAUUUUCACUAUCUUUUCAAGGGUUGUUUACUUGCCCAAGUUGACCAAGAAAAGAAUUAUUAUAGUUCUUACAAUUUGAAUCAGAAACAGGGCAUCUCUUUAGAGUUAAUUCCUUCCCCCUUACCAGCUAGCUGGUUAAUAUACUUGGAGGAGAAGUAACAACUCAUAGCCAUUUUUUAAAAUUAACAAUAAAAUUUCAUGAUAAUUUAAAGUUAAAAUUGGCUGUAAGGUUUGUCUAAUUGAAAUUAGAACGUAAUUGCGUUUCAAUACAUAUGCCUCUUGCCUUUUUCUGCAACCAAGAUUUUCAGUACACUUCCCACAUUAAAUACAUUAUUGAUUAAAAUCAAACCAUGUCCAAGACAUACUUCAGUGUUGACAGUUCAUUUUCAAGAUCACUCAAUUUCAGUAGCCAAUGUAAAUAAUCUUUAUUAACCUUAGACAACCUUUUAAAAUGUACUGCUAUCAGGCUCUGAGGAAAUUAAAUGCACAUUGACUUUUUAAGUAUGGGUUGAACUCCUCAGUUUAAUACAAUUUGUGUUUUUGUUAACUAGCAGCAGAAUUUCAGCAUUUGCUACUUACUGGUAGAGAAGAAAAACCCCACAGCCCUGCCAGUACAGGUUAGUUUAAUCUGUAAGUACCUGAUGUUCCUUUUUUUUCCCCUCCCACCCCACAAACAUAACCAUUUAAGGCACAUAAGGAAGGAAGCUGCUGUGCAGUUACUUACUGUGAGUAUAGUAACAUUGGGUGCUCUCAGACACUCAGUUCUUGGGCCAGAUGGAUUUCUAGGUUUGGGAACCUCAGCUGUAAUAAAGGUGUGAUGCAGCUCCUUGAUUAUUGGUUGUUCUUGACCUAUGUAGAUACCUCCUAUAUAAUAGAGGAAAGAAAUACUUGGAUUGGCUCAGUCCAUGGUGGUAAUAGUUUGUAUGUCUCUGUAAGCUAUAAAUUACAUCACUGGCAUGGAAGCUCACCGCACAUUGAGAACCCUGCACAGUGGUGCACAUCUUUAAUCCCAGAACUCUGCAGGCAGAGGUAGACAUAGUGUAAAUUUAAGGCCAGGCUAGGCUGUGUAAUGAUUCCCUGUCUUUAACAAAAGAAAGGUAAUUCUUGGAAGACGAGGAAGUCAUGCACAUCUUGCUUGAUAAAGCCAAUAAAAAUAAGUCAGAUACUGAUUAGCCAGCCUUCGAUUGGAUCAUUAUUAUUUUAUUUGGGAAUAAUAAGAUUUGUUUAAAUUUUUAAUGAUCUACAUCUACUGACCAGUAGUAAAAUGUAUUCUGUGAGUUUCCCCCCACAUUGCUUUUUAAUUGUAAAAUUGCCUGAGGGCUUAAGUUUUAUUGCCUUUCACAGUUUAUAAGAAUGGCGUAGAUACAGUGGAAAUGGUUUUCCUUAAAACCAUCUCUUUAAGAGCUGCCUUUCUGGUGAGUACUGCUUUAUAAUUUUUGUAUCACACUUUUUUUUAAGCUAGCUGGGAGGUGACAGUGAUUGAAAAGUGCAGUCCGAAUUGUCAAAGCUUGGACCAGAACCUUAAGGUGAUGGUUACUACCUGAUUCUCUAUGUUCCCUGUUUAGAUUCUCUUUUUUCCCCCUCAUUUCCCUAAAGGAUUGUGUGCAUAAAAACAUUGAACGCAGAUCAUUUGCUUUGGUGAGGGGAAAAAUUGUUUUGUUUUGGUUUUUUUUUUUUUUUUUUUUUUUUAAUGUUUAAGAAAAUGUAGGGACAGGAGGCAUGGCUCACUAGUUAAGACCAUGUCAUACCCCAGGUGGUGGCAUCCGCUCUGCAGGCAGAGACCAGUCAUCGCUGAGUUUCAGGACAACCAGGGCUGUAUAGAGGAGUCUCCCCAAAGUGAAGGAAUGUGUCCUGCGUUUGUUGGAAUCAGUUGAGGUUCCCAGUGUGUGUCCUGGCUCACAACCACCGCUCCUUCAGGAUCUGACACCUUGAACUUUUGUGCUCAUAUACUUAAAACACAUGCAUACAAUUAAGAAAUACAUAUGUUUUAAAGAUCAAAGAUUACCUUUUUUGCCCCAGUGCUCAUUUCUCACUGCUAGGUUAAGGAAAUAAUAGAUUUAGUACUCUCUUCUCGAGUACUUGAACUGUAUAAAUCAUUCCAACCUUGCAUUACAAAUGCAGAUUUUUAGCAUUUGUUUACCUGGGAAGAUUAACUUACAAAAAUAUUUUACUGUCUUGUUUAGUGACGAGUUUGUAACAUAAGGAUUUUUCCCUGUAGUUUUUAAGCUAGAUUUUUAGAUAAUGCAGGCAUAUUUGUAUAUACAUUGUAUUUCUUCUAUGAUUUUUGUGAAUAAAUCUACCUUUUUCCUCCUUAGUAUAGACAAUAUUUGUUUUCUAAAAUCUGAAAUGUGUAAUCUGAGUGUGUGUGGUAAUGUAUUCUAGGUGAGCUCUCAACAAAGUUUUGAGCCUAAAUUUGUGUCUUUAGAUUAUAGUGAAAUAAAUUUCUAAGGAACUCUGUCCUUUCCUAGCAUGGAUAAACAGACAGUGACAGUUGGUAAGUAUGUAACUUUAAAUGCAUGUAGUAGUGGUAAAGUUGAGCUACCAAACUAUUCCAAGACAGUUAGAAGUGAGUCCUUCUAGGACUUUAUAUGUAUAUCUGACAUUUUCUCCAAAUCUAUGUACUCAUGAUUAAACUGAAAUGCACCUUACUUGUCUGAUUUGUUUUUUGUUGUUCAUUUUGUUUUUAGAAGAAUUUUGUAUGGUAGUUUAAAAAUCUAAUUUUAUAUUUAAAACUUUCCUUGGUGUAUCAGUACGUGGCUCUUCUGACAACCCAAUAUUGAUCCGAAGUUUACUUCAAACACUUUGGUUUCCAUUUAUAACUAAGCAAAAUAUAGUGGCAAAAGAGAGGACUACUCUAAUUUUAGUCUAUAAUAGGAAAUCAGUGCAGAAUUACGCUUUAUUUUUAUUUAUGUGUCUGUGGUGCACCCACAUGCAGUUUUCUCCUGAGGCCAGAAGAUUGUCUGAUUGUUAGAGUGGAGUAGAGCUUCAGACACUGGUAACCCACCCCUGAGCAGUACCCAUUCAUCCUUGGCCAGUUCGGGUCAGUGUUGGAAUUUGGUGGUGGGAAGAAGGCUUUCUUAUUUUUUAUGAUUGCGGCCCCCCAAUUGUGAGAAUUAUUUCAGGGGGUAGAUCGGAGGACAACUUCUUUACAGUUUGUGUUCGUAUGUGGUUUCUAGGGAGACAUCUCAACCACCCUCUGGUGUUCUGUUGGUAACAGAAGUAUGACAGUCUCCAGGUUUACUCCUAACAAGUGUCAGUUGGAUUUGGAGGAAAUGAAGAGCCAAAUCCUGUGGGGAUGUGAUUGUAUGGAGGGUCUGAGUAUAGCAGCAGGAGGAAGAAUAAACUUGCAGCCUGUGUGCUAUUAAAUGGUACAGGAGCAGAGAUCGUGACGAAUGUUACUUUAUAACUAUGUCUGCUAAAGAUAAUUAUAUGCUAGCCUUUAAUUCAUUAACAUUGGAACCUUGUGAUACAUGAAUUUUGGUCGAGUUUAUUUAAAAAUAAAAAUUUCCCACACAAAUAAUAGUGUAUGUGAUACUUUGAUGUGUCUGUCUCCUGGCUCAGGAACAUUAAAGUGUGUUCUUCCCCAAUUCAAAUACUUUGCUGGCCUGGAACUCCCAGAAAUCCUUCUGCCUUUUGUCUCUCCAAUGGUGCGAUUAAAGGUGUGCACCACUGAACUGGGCAUAAAUUUGGUUCUUUUCAUCCUCUCUAGUUCCUGUAUUAUAUAUGCACAUACAAAACACUCUGUAGAAUAGGUUGUCUAUAAGCUCCCCUUUCCUCUGCCACCUCAGUGUGCCACCAUGCACACAUAUAAAUUAUGUCCAUGGAAGUGCAAUUGUCUGUAGAGGACAAGAAGUGUUUGAAUCCCCUGGAGUUACAGAUGAUUGUCAGCCACCGGAUAUUUAUGCAGAGAACAGAAUCAAUUCUUUUGUAAGAGCAUUUAGUUACCUUAACCACUCAGCCAUCUCUGUGUGUGUGUGUGUGUGUGUGUGUGUGUGUGUGUGUGUGUGUGUG